rnacentral:rRNA from 1 species
CUUAGUGGCGAACGGGUGAGUAACGCGUGAGUAACCUGCCCUGGAGUGGGGGACAACAGUUGGAAACGACUGCUAAUACCGCAUAAGCCCACGGAUCCGCAUGGAUCUGCGGGAAAAGGAUUUAUUUGCUUCAGGAUGGACUCGCGUCCAAUUAGCUAGUUGGUGAGGUAACGGCCCACCAAGGCGACGAUUGGUAGCCGGACUGAGAGGUUGAACGGCCACAUUGGGACUGAGACACGGCCCAGACUCCUACGGGAGGCAGCAUG